UACGGAGGGUGCAAGCGUUAUCCGGAUUCACUGGGUUUAAAGGGUGCGUAGGAGGGCAGGUAAGUCAGUGGUGAAAUCUCCGGGCUUAACUCGGAAACUGCCGUUGAUACUAUCUGUCUUGAAUACCGUGGAGAUGAGCGGAAUAUGUCAUGUAGCGGUGAAAUGCUUAGAUAUGACAUAGAACACCAAUUGCGAAGGCAGCUGGCUACACGAAUAUUGACACUGAUGCACGAAAGCGUGGGGAUCAAACAGG
rnacentral:rRNA from 1 species